AUCAAAGUCAGCGUAGAGCUCAGAGUUGUCGCUGGGUGAACUCUGAACCCGCCUAUGUUGCACUGGUUCUCCCAAGUUCACAAACUGUCUUUCAGAAAGCUGAGUUUUAUACCGUUUGUUCAGCCUGGGGUUAUGCAGCUUCAGUUUCUUUCUCUUUCUUGUGUUGUUCCAUAUUCAUAUUUCUGCUGCUGGUCUGUUGAUGGGUUUUCUGAGAAGGGGAGAGAGUUUGAGUAGUUUUCUGGGAAUUGUACAUUGAGAUGUAUGGUCCUGAGGAUUUUGACUAGAUCAGUAUCAGCUGUUAAUUGUUGGGUCGUUAGUAGGCUCAUCUUGCUUGGGUGGACCCAUCUCUUCUGGGUGUUAUCUUAAUUGUUGGGUCGUUCUCUUGCAAAUUCCUGAGUUUCCAGCAUCUGCUUUUGCAAUCUCGAGUUGUUUGUGUUUUAUACAUAGAACAUGCUUUUAUACUUGAUCUUAUAUGUGUACAAUAAAAUGAGAAUUAUACCAACAUAUAUUGCAUGAAUCCAGGAGCUCAUGUGGUCUAGAAAAAAUUCACGUGUGCAUGACUUUUGCUUGCUUCUCUAAGUUUUGACUCAUUGGAUGUUCACAUUUUUAAACUUUUCUUUAGAGCUACAUUAUAAAUCCCUUUUAAAAAGGCCAAUACACUCAUACUUCCAUGAACAGUGUAAGAAUCUGUGUUUGAGUCCCCUCGGCUGAGCAGUCGCUUUGUUCCUCCCUUGGUAUGCAGCACUCAAGGCGGCGCAGGCCUCGGCCAUGGCGUGUGGUCAGCAGGCCCAAGGCGGCUCCUGGAAGGGCUCAGCUAAACCGAGCCCUCGGUGAGCACUGAGGCAGAGCGCCGGGCACAUGGAUAACAUCGCUGCGGAGAGCUAAAGCAUCAAUGGCUUCUGGGAGCUUUGAAGGCAGAUUUGUAUUUGUAAUUACAAAUGUUAGAGCAGAGCCGGCUGAUGUGAGUUCCCAGCUUGAGCUGAAAAACUGACCACUGUAUACGGAUGUUAAAUGUUUGGAAAUGAGAAAUUCAGAGGACUGUAUAACAGCAUCAGUGUAACAGACCUCCUGUGUAUAUUUGAACCUAUUGGUCAGUGGCUGCUUAAGACCUUCCUAAUGCUGAAGGUCUGAUGUCAUGUUCCAAGUGACUUAUGCAGUCAGCAGUGCAGUUUUGUUUUUCAGACUGAGGAAAUGGGAGGGUGAAUUUGGGAAAUGAAGUUGACAGGAAGCUGACACUGUGCUGAUAAAGUAAAGUAAGGCAAGCUUUGCAGUUGUGCCAUGUUCUGUAGUUUCACUGCUGAAGUGCCUGCAGGCCACCUAUAUGUGAAAAUGGACAAGGAUUUGGAAAAGGCCUCGAGGUGUAUCUGUGCUGGAUAUAGAACUGAGUUAUUUCUGUCAGAUGUAUCCUCCUGGGUCUUUUUUGUUCAGGAGGUCCUCAAGUGCUGUGGAAAAAUAGAAGAGUGUCAAUAACGGAUUUGAACAUGAGCUGCCAACAAGCUGGAUGAACUGUUUGUCUGUCACAUUCACUGAAUAUCCUGAAGUAUUCCUGACAAGAGAGUGAGACCCUGGAAAAAGCAACCAAAACCACCUGAGUUAAGAGAGUCCUGAUCAGCCAGUGAAGGAACUUCUCCCUCUGUGCUGGAUA